rnacentral:rRNA from 1 species
UCCCUAGCUGGUUUGAGAGGAUGAUCAGCCACACUGGGACUGAGACACGGCCCAGACUCCUACGGGAGGCAGCAGUGGGGAAUAUUGCACAAUGGGCGCAAGCCUGAUGCAGCCAUGCCGCGUGUGUGAAGAAGGCCUUCGGGUUGUAAAGCACUUUCAGUCAGGAGGAAAGCGUGGUGGUUAAUACCCAUCAUGUGUGACGUUACUGACAGAAGAAGCACCGGCUAACUCCGUGCCAGCAGCCGCGGUAAUACGGAGGGUGCGAGCGUUAAUCGGAAUUACUGGGCGUAAAGCGUACGCAGGCGGUUUGUUAAGCGAGAUGUGAAAGCCCCGGGCUCAACCUGGGAACUGCAUUUCGAACUGGCAAACUAGAGUGUGAUAGAGGGUGGUAGAAUUUCAGGUGUAGCGGUGAAAUGCGUAGAGAUCUGAAGGAAUACCGAUGGCGAAGGCAGCCACCUGGGUCAACACUGACGCUCAUGUACGAAAGCGUGGGGAGCAAACGGGAUUAGAUACCCCGGUAGUCCACGCCGUAAACGAUGUCUACUAGAAGCUCGGAGCCUCGGUUCUGUUUUUCAAAGCUAACGCAUUAAGUAGACCG